rnacentral:rRNA from 1 species
UACGGGGGGGGCAAGCGUUGUUCGGAAUUACUGGGCGUAAAGGGCUCGUAGGCGGCCAACUAAGUCGGACGUGAAAUCCCCAGGCUUAACUUGGGAACUGCGUCCGAUACUGGAUGGCUUGAAUCCGGGAGAGGGAUGCGGAAUUCCAGGUGUAGCGGUGAAAUGCGUAGAUAUCUGGAGGAACACCGGUGGCGAAGGCGGCAUCCUGGACCGGUAUUGACGCUGAGUGAGCGAAAGCCAGGGGAGCAAAACGGG